UUGCACGCUGGCGGCAGGCCUAACACAUGCAAGUCGAACGGUAACAGGAAGCAGCUUGCUGCUUCGCUGACGAGUGGCGGACGGGUGAGUAAUGUCUGGGAAGCUGCCUGAUGGAGGGGGAUAACUACUGGAAACGGUAGCUAAUACCGCAUAAUGUCGCAAGACCAAAGAGGGGGACCUUCGGGCCUCUUGCCAUCGGAUGUGCCCAGAUGGGAUUAGCUUGUUGGUGGGGUAACGGCUCACCAAGGCGACGAUCCCUAGCUGGUCUGAGAGGAUGACCAGCCACACUGGGACUGAGACACGGUCCAGACUCCUACGGGAGGCAGCAGUGGGGAAUAUUGCACAAUGGGCGCAAGCCUGAUGCAGCCAUGCCGCGUGUAUGAAGAAGGCCUUCGGGUUGUAAAGUACUUUCAGCGGGGAGGAAGGGAGUAAAGUUAAUACCUUUGCUCAUUGACGUUACCCGCAGAAGAAGCACCGGCUAACUCCGUG
rnacentral:rRNA from 1 species